AGUGAACGCUGGCGGUAGGCCUAACACAUGCAAGUCGAACGGCAGCACAGAGGAGCUUGCUCCUUGGGUGGCGAGUGGCGGACGGGUGAGGAAUACAUCGGAAUCUACUCUGUCGUGGGGGAUAACGUAGGGAAACUUACGCUAAUACCGCAUACGACCUACGGGUGAAAGGAGGGGACCUUCGGGCCUUGCGCGAUUGAAUGAGCCGAUGUCGGAUUAGCUAGUUGGCGGGGGAAAGGCCCACCAAGGCGACGAUCCGUAGCUGGUCGGAGAGGAUGAUCAGACACACUGGAACUGAGACACGGUCCAGACUACUACGGGAGGAAGCAGUGGGGAAUAUUGGACAAUGGGCGCAAGCCUGAUCCAGCCAUACCGCGUGGGGGAAGAAGGCCUUCGGGUUGUAAAGCCCUUUUGUUGGGAAAGAAAUCCAGCUGGCUAAUACCCGGUUGGGAUGACGGUACCCAAAGAAUAAGCACCGGCUAACUUCGUGCCAGCCGCCGCCGUAA
rnacentral:rRNA from 1 species